GAUGAAGAACGUAGCGAAAUGCGAUAAGUAAUGUGAAUUGCAGAGUUCAGUGAAUCAUCGAAUCUUUGAACGCACAUUGCGCCCGCCAGUAUUCUGGCGGGCAUGCCUGUCCGAGCGUCAUUUCAACCAUCAAGCCUCAGGCUUGUGUUGGAGCCCUGCGGCUGCCGCAGCCUCCCAAAACCAGUGGCGGGCUCGCUAUCACACCGAGUGCAGUAGUUUACUCUUCGCUCAGGGCGUGUGGCGGGUGCUAGCCGUGAAACCCCCAACUUCUCAAGGUUGACCUCGGAUCAGGUAGGAAUACCCGCUGAACUUAAGCAUAUCAAUAAGCGGAGGA
rnacentral:misc_RNA from 1 species